rnacentral:rRNA from 1 species
UACGGAGGGUGCGAGCGUUAAUCGGAAUACUGGGCGUAAAGCGCAUGCAGGUGGUUCAUUAAGUCAGAUGUGAAAGCCCGGGGCUCAACCGUCGGAACUGCAUUUGAAACUGGUGAACUAAGAGUACUGUAGAGGGGGGUAGAAUUUCAGGUGGUAGCGGAUUGAAAUGCGUAGAGAUCUGAAGGAAUACCAGUGGA